rnacentral:misc_RNA from 1 species
GCAGGGGUUGAACGUCCAUGCACGGUACUAAUCAGGACCCCGCAUUGGAACCUUCCAGAUUUUUCCCCAUGGGGACUUAAUUUGGGAUAUCUCUACUUAAGUCGAUUCUCCGAACUUAUGGUGCAUAAACCUGGUGAAGGCCUUCUUUUAAGUCUCCUCGCCACAACUCUUUCACCAUUGGUAACUAACUAAAUGCCCCCAUAUAUACACAUACACAUCUCUGUUUUCUACAAACAAAAUUAACGAACAGUAUCAUUUCACAGAGGUGGGCCUUUUCAAAAUAUGUAGAAACUUAUAUAAAACACAAGAAUAGGCUUGCAAAAUAUGGAAUGGUGCCAAAGCAUAGCUUCUUAAACGAAUUGAGUUCGUGUUCAGCUGCUCUAGUUCCAGAAGGCUUCUACGACAGAGUUGAGGAGGGAAGUAUAAAGCUUAUCAAGAAAGCAGACUGCUUUGGAUUUUCUAAAGAAGGUAUUGUGCUCGAUGGUCAGGCCGAAACAAUAAAAUCCGACUUAGUCAUACUAGCUACCGGCUUCAAAGGAAUUGAUAAGCUCAAACACAUUUUUCUAUCAACAAAAUAUCAAGAAUUCAUAGCAGGCUCAGAUGAUUUUGCUACCGUUCCCCUUUAUAGAAUAGUCACAAUCCUUAAAGCAAUGACAUUGGCUGAGGUUCUGCCGCGUCUGCCACUUCUGCCACUGUUGGAGACUGUGCACCAAUUUUUUGUACUUUCUCCAACCUGGCAGUGAGAAGUGUGUCGAUCCACGGACUAGGUCCCUCCACAAGGUCCUUGGGUUUGUCUUGUCAUCAGUUGAAGAUUGUGCACCAACCACUUGUACUUUUUCUAGUUUGGCAAUGGAGUGUUUAUAACACAACGAACCAAGUCCCUUCAUAAGGUCCCUGGGUUUGUCAAAUCAUCAAAACUACAAAUAAAAUUUUCCUCUUUUUUGAUGAUUACAAGUUGUACACCAAUGCCUACAAGUUCUUCCAUGUUUCCUUCCCCCUAUCGAUAAAGACCUAACAGUUACAUGUACAUUUGCACAAUGGAUCAGGUGGUCUCUGGGUUUGUCAAAUCAUCAAACUACAAAUAACACUACUACUACUACUUUUGCAAGCAUAUAUAUUUACAUGUCAUCUCUCUCAGGGAAUGCAUUCAUCCCCGGAUUCCACAAGUUGCAAUAAUUGGUUUCUCAGAAAGCCUAGCUAAUCUAUACACAUCGGAAAUAAGGUGUCGGUGGCUGGCAGAACUCCUUGAUGGAAAAUUCAGGCUACCUAGCGUAAAGAUGAUGGAGAAAGACAUAGCAGAGUGGGAUAAAUACAAGAAGAGCUAUUCUUAUAGCAAGUACUACAGGAGAUCGUGUGUGGCAGCAUUGCAUGUUUGGCACAAUGACCAACUUUGCAAGGACAUGGGAUGGAACCCAAAGAGGAAGAAGGGCUUUUGGGCUGAGUGGUUCCAACCUUAUGGACCAAUGGAUUACUAAUAAUACUCCAGGCUCUCUGUAUUUCAAUAAUAAAGAAUGAACAUGCAUUGCAUCUAUAUGCAAGUCAUGAUAUUGUAAAAUAAUAAGUAUCAACAUUAAUAAAAUAAA